GACGAACGCUGGCGGCGUGCCUAAUACAUGCAAGUAGAACGCAGUUGCGAACGGGUGAGUAACGCGUAGGUAACUGCCUCAUAGCGGGGGAUAACUAUUGGAAACGAUAGCUAAUACCGCAUACUGUGAGAUGGACCUGCGUUGUAUUAGCUAGUUGGUGAGGUAAAGGCUCACCAAGGCGACGAUACAUAGCCGACCUGAGAGGGUUAUCGGCGACACUGGUACUGAGACACGGCCCAGACUCCGACGGGAGGCAGCAGGAGGGAAAGUUGGUGAAUUGACGGAAGUCUGACCGAGCAACGCGGGGGGAGGGAAGAAGGUUUUCGGAUCGUAAAGCUCUGUUGGUAGAGAAGCGUUAACUAACCAGAAAGGGACGGCUAACUACGUGCCAGCAGCCGCGGUAAUAC
rnacentral:rRNA from 1 species